rnacentral:lncRNA from 1 species
CAAUCUGAAAGACUGGGUGAGAAAAAGCUACGGGAACUAAAGGGGCCUAGACCACUCCUCCCUCGGUUCCGGGGGGCCAGUUGGCGCGGAAGCAAUGGGAGGUACGAACUAACUGCGUUUCUGCAGGCCUCAGGAGGGGGCGGAGGGCGGUGGCUGCACCGAAAGAAGCCCAAAGCGCCAUCCGCGUCCCCGGAGGUUCUCGCUCCUGCCACCAGGAGCCCCGGGGACCACUACGCCUCGGCCCCCUCACUAUACUGCCGCCGCCCCUUCUCCAGGACAGUGCGAUUUCCCCAGACUCUGGGGGGGGGGGGGGGGCGGGGUCUCCGACCUCUCCCUCUCUUCCCCGCCCUGCCCAGCCCGGCUCAGCGCGAUCGGGCCCGGCCCGGCCCGGCCCAGCCCCUCAGCACUCACGGCUCCGACUGCUCCGGCGGCUCCUCCCCUGCCCCGGCUUCUCCCCCACCCACUCCCGGCCGAAGCAGCGCCGCCGGAUCCGAGCCGCGCGGGGCCUGGCGGGUCGGAACACGUGGGGCCUUUGCGCCCGGAACCGGAAGCUGCGCUUGGCCCCGCCUCCUCGCGGCUGGAGCCCUUCUAGGCGCCGGGAGGUUUGGUGUCUCUGUGGGCGCCGCGCAGGAGGAGACUCAGAGAGCCGCGGGGGGAAAGCCUGGGGCCAGACCCCUGGCGCCCGCACGCCCCACUCCCGCGGCCCGCAGCCCUCGGUUUGCACACACGCAGGCUUUUCUGUUUUUGAUCUUUGCUUUGAUUUUGGCGUCUAUGCGUCUACUCGUUUUUCUUGAUUGUCCGCGAAGCACGGUUGCUAACAGCAGUUUUGAGUUUGGCUCCUGCGCUGGCCACCAUUUGUGGGGCCUCCAGCAACCCUUCCACCUCUCCGAAGCUCAGGGUCCAUCUAAAAUGGGUGUAACCAUUCCCUUGCUCCGAGAGCGAAGGGAAAUAUUGCACGUGAACUCUUUGGAACGCAGCAGAAGCUUGCUGAGAAUAGUUGUGGCAUCCUGUUCUUUUCUCGUUUCCUUGGACACGUCUUUGUGUUUCUUUAAGACUGACUUCCCCGAUCUCCUUUGCUCAGGUUGUCUCUGUCAGUGA